rnacentral:snoRNA from 1 species
UCGACCGUACUUUACAGGAUCAUGUAUAUAGUACGUAACCCGUCUUUGUUUUCCAAACAAGACACAUUUACUAAGUUGGAUGAGGAUGGAGAGCACCGGUUCAUAGCGGGAAGUGAUAAUUACAUUUAUUUUUUUAAGUGAAUGUUUUUAGUUUGAAGAACGUGCCUAUCAAGUUUUUCCGUUGAUACGGCAAGAACUUGGUUGCCUUCUGACAACU